AAUGAACGUUGGCGGCGUGCCUAACACAUGCAAGUCGAGCGUGAAAGUCCUUCGGAUGAGUAAAGCGGCAGACGGGUGAGUAACGCGUGAGAAUUUUCCUUUCAGUGAAGAAUACCUUUGGGAAACUAAAGUUAAUACUGCAUACGUCUCGAAAGAGAGAAAGAUGGCCUAAUUGCUGUCGCUGAAAGAUAAGCUUGCGUUCUAUUAGCUAGUUGGUGAGGUAAUGGCUCACCAAGGCGAUGAUGGAUAGCCGGCCUGAGAGGGCGAACGGCCACAUUGGAACUUAGACACGGUCCAAACUCCUACGGGAGCAGCAGUUGAGGAAUAUUGCACAAUGGGCGCAAGCCUGAUGCAGCGACGCCGCGUGGAGGAUGACGGUCUUCGGAUUGUAAACUCCUGUUAAGUGUGAAAAAGACUUGCUUUUAAUAGAAGCGAGGGAUGAUGGUAACACUAGAG
rnacentral:rRNA from 1 species